rnacentral:rRNA from 1 species
UACGGAGGGGGCUAGCGUUGUCCGAAGUUACUGGGCGUAAAGCGCGCGUAGGCGGGUUGGUAAGUCCGCUGUGAAAGCCCGGAGCUUAACUCCGGAGGGUCGGUGGAUACUGCCAGUCUUGAAGGUGCUAGGGGGAGAUGGAAUUACCGGUGUAGCGGUGAAAUGCGUAGAUAUCGGUAGGAACACCAGUGGCGAAGGCGGUCUCCUGGGGCAUUCUUGACGCUGAGGCGCGAAAGCGUGGGGAGCGAUCCGG